rnacentral:rRNA from 1 species
AUGGAAGAUGCAGGGAUGGAGUUCCUCCUCGAUGCCGUUGACAGGUUCCCACUAGUUGAGGAAUUCGCGGACAGCCAUGAGCACCCAAAUCUGGUUCCUCUGGUUUUGUUGGCGAGCGGCGGAGUAGGAGAUGCAGUCCCUGGUGUAUCCAGUGCUGGCUCUGGUUGUGUUCAGCAAAUCGGCGGCCACGGAAAUGGCGAUGCGCGUGCUGGGGUCCAACGACGACCGGAGUCAUCCUCAACGAGGUCUGCGCAGUCGACUCAAGAGUCAAUCCGUAGGCCCCUGGGUGGACGAAAAGGUAGUGUGAGAACAAGGAUUCCUUUACCAUUCUCUGGGUACUCAUUUGAAAUUAUAGAUUGCUCGGAAGUUUCAGACUUGUCUUAG